CUUUCAAAACAUAAUCAUCUAUACCUCUGCGGUAUAUUUUUUGGGGACAAAUGUGUCUUUCUCCAAUAAUGAAGUAUUGAAGAGGCAUAUUUCCCCCGUUACUACACCUAUGUAUGUGAUGUGUUGGUGAAGUGCCGCCCUCUUUGGGAUUAGGCCCCGCCUCCUCAGCCACCAAGUCAGCGUGCACAGAGCCCAGGAGUGCAAACAUGAAGCGUGCAUUAGUGUGUGUGCUGAUGGCUGCCUGGAGCCUUGGAUGUGGCAGCCAGACGGUGCACCAACCAGCAGAGAAUGUGUACGCCAUGAAAGGCGACUCAGUUAAGCUGGACUGCAGCUAUGAAGAUUCUGGAGGCAACAACUACAUCUUCUGGUACAAACGGGACGGGCAGGCGGCACCAAAGUUCAUCCUGAGCCUCUCCAUGACGAGUCAGGGCAAGACUGAGAGCAGCUUUGAAAAGAGGUUCAGCUGCAGCAUCAACGACACCGCCAAGCGAGCUCCUCUGAAGAUCGAAGACAUGCAGCUGAGCGACUCUGCAGUCUUCUACUGCGCCAUCCAGCCCACAAUGACUGACAUCUCUGCUGCACCUGCACAAAAACCUCUGACAUCACGAGGGUGGCGAACUGGAGAUGUUUUUUAUUUACAUACCUUAAUUGUUUCCAAACCGUGUCUCUAACACGGCAGUAAACAGCUGAUCAAACACAACAGAAGUCAUCGUCAUGGACCCACUGGCUGCAGAAGUUAGCUCUCCAUCAGCUAAACAGACUCAAUCAGUCCACGGUGACGUUUUAGUGAAUUCAGUGAGGAAUUUGUGAAACUGAAACAAUGCAAAUAGGAUGCCAUUGUAAGUUAAUAACACUAACACAAACACCUGUAAAUGUGUAGGCAUACUAGCUAAUGCCAACAACGCUAGAUUCAUUACAUUACGUAUGAAUAAGCAUGAAAACACUUCUACAGACAUCACACGUGGGACGGUUCAAAAAGGAAAAAUUGUUUCAGUUAAACUGUCAAACUUACAAAUGUUGCUUGGAGUGAUAAAUGAAAAAUCCUUUCGAGCAAAAAUGCUAUGAACGCUUAUUCCUGGUUUACAGAAUCAAAACAGGAAGUACAAUUUCAACCCUCAAUCCUGCUGUGAGCAAACUUGUCCAAAAGAUGGAGCCAUAGGACAAUUAUUAUUUCAGCCAUCUACUUUCCAGGUGAGAGGUAGGAUUUAUUAUCUACAAUACACUUACAGGGAGCAGGGAAGCGAGGAAAUAGAAGACCACUCGAUGAUGUAAACAUAGGGACAUAAGGAAGUGAUCACAGCGCCGCUAUAAAUAGUGUGUCUUUGUUAGCGCUCAUAAUAACAAUAUCACUAGUACUUGGUUAAUAUUCAAGUCCUGAAAUGUAACUUAAGUAUUGUUGGCGCUUUUCGAAUGGUUAUUUAUCCAAUUGUAUGGGCGGAAUAAUGGAGUUCCUAUUGGCUUUGCUGUAAGCUGACUUUUAUUUACUUUUAUUUUAUAUUUGGACUGCAUAAAAAAAAUCCUUCCGUUGUCAUGUCUUUCAUCAUGAUUGUGAACGAUAGGCAAAACUCCCC